GUCUAGGGGCGGGGCUUAAGGCGGAAGCGGCGUCCCCGCGCUCCGUGCAGUGCGGGUUUCAGUGAUGCUGCGCUCAGGAUGGAUGCGGCUGUUGCCCAUGCUCUGCAGCCUCCUGCUAGGGCGAGCCGAGGCCCCGAGCCCGGGGGUGCCGCCGGAGCAAAGCCAGCCCUACGCGGUGUUGCGGAGGCAGAGCCUGGAUUUAUCGAAUUAUCUGAAGGGGAACUGGUCGCAGGAGCUGGACAGGUUGCACACGGAGCUGCAGAUACAGAUCCUGAACCUUAAUUGAACCAGAGUGGAACUAGUGACCCUUGGAGGCUUUACCUCUUGGCUUACCUCUGCAUUUUCUCACUUUAAGGAAUGGGUGGGAGUGAUUUUGUUUAUGAAUAUGUUUACCCAUGAAUAUGGGUAAACAACCAAUGUGCCCAUGUGCAGUAGAGUUUUCUUUUAGCCUAGUCACUGCCUGACCCGAAGCAUGUAAAUGAGGUACUGAAAGCAUAACCAAUCUGGUGUAGACAUGCCUAUCCUAGGCCUAUAUAAGCAGCACUGGUUUUUGGCCUCGGGGUCUUUCGCUUUCACUAUCAAGCUCUCCCAAUAAAUGUAUGC
rnacentral:lncRNA from 1 species